rnacentral:rRNA from 1 species
UACGUAGGCAACGAGCGUUGUUCGGAGUUACUGGGCGUAAAGAGUGCGUAGGCGGUUUUCUAAGUUUGGUGUGAAAUCUCCCGGCUCAACUGGGAGGGUGCGCCGAAGACUGGAAGGCUUGAGUAUGGGAGAGGUAAGCGGAAUUCCUGGUGUAGCGGUGAAAUGCGUAGAUAUCAGGAGGAACACCUGCGGUGUAGACGGCUGCCUGGACCGGCCCUGACGCUGAGGCGCGAAAGCUAGGGGAGCAAACAGG